UACGUAGGGGGCAAGCGUUGUCCGGAUUUAUUGGGCGUAAAGAGCGUGUAGGCGGCCAAGCAGGUCAGCUGUGAAAACUCGAGGCUCAACCUCGAGACGUCGGUUGAAACCGCUUGGCUAGAGUCCGGAAGAGGAGAGUGGAAUUCCCGGUGUAGCGGUGAAAUGCGCAGAUAUCGGGAAGAACACCCGUGGCGAAGGCGGCUGCCUGGGCCUGGCCUGACGCUGAGGCGCGAAAGCGUGGGGAGCGAUCCGG
rnacentral:rRNA from 1 species